rnacentral:lncRNA from 1 species
UGAUUUAUCUACUGGGACCUCAUCAGCCAUGAUGAGAUGUUCUCCCACAUUUACAAAAUCCGGGAGACUGCGGAUGGGCUGUGCCUGGAGGUGGAGGGGAAAUUGGUAAGUAGGACAGAGGGUAACAUUGAUGACUUGCUCAUUGGUGGAAAUGCCUCCGCUGAAGGCACUGAAAGCGAAGGUACCAAAAGCACAGUAAUCACUGGUAUCCUUACUGUCAUGAACCAUCACCUGCAGGAAACAAGCUUCACAAAAGAAGCCUACAAGAAGUAUAAUACACCAAAGAUUACAUGAAAUCAACCAAAGGCAAACUUGAAGAACAGAGACCAGAAAGAGUAAAACCUUUUAUGACAGGGGCUGCAGAACAAAUCAAACACAUCCUUGCUAAUUUCAAAAGCUACCACUUCUUUAUUGGUGAAAACAUGAAUCCAGAUGGCAUGGUUGCUCCACAGGACUACCGUGAGGUUGGUGUAACCCAUGUGGGAUUUCCUUUAAGGAUGGCUUAGAAAUGGAA